rnacentral:rRNA from 1 species
GAUGAACGCUGGCGGCGUGCCUAAUACAUGCAAGUCGAGCGAACGGACGAGAAACUUGCUUCUCUGAUGUUAACGGCGGACGGGUGAGUAAAACGUGGAUAACCUACCUAUAAAACUGGGAUAACUUCGGGAAACCGUAGCUAAUACCGGGUAAUAUUUUGAACCGCAUGGUUCAAAAGUGAAAGACGGUCUUGCUGUCACUUAUAGAUUGAUCCGCGCUGCAUUAGCUAGUUGGUAAGGUAACGGCUUACCAAGGCAACGAUGCAUAGCCGACCUGAGAGGGUGAUCGGCCACACUGGAACUGAGACACGGUCCAGACUCCUACGGGAGGCAGCAGUAGGGAAUCUUCCGCAAUGGGCGAAAGCCUGACGGAGCAACGCCGCGUGAGUGAUGAAGGUCUUCGGAUCGUAAAACUCUGUUAUUAGGGAAGAACAUAUGUGUAAGUAACUGUGCACAUCUUGACGGUACCUAAUCAGAAAGCCACGGCUAACUACGUG